rnacentral:lncRNA from 1 species
AUUUACAGUUUCCCCUUUUAAGUAUUUCUUAUUUAGGACAUUAUAUCAUCGUACUCACGUGCAUGCUUUCUCGAAACAAUAUCCUUCAAGGUCAUGAACACCAGAGACCAACUAUGGCAGAAUCAUGGAAAACUGAAGGAUUGUCAAUUCCCAUCACUUUGUUGCAUAAUAUUGGCAACUUUCUUCUUGUAGGCGAGGGUGGCAUGGUCAGCAGUUAUGGCCUGGAUGACUGCACAGCUGUGAGCCAGCUGUCAGUAUUCCCUGAUUGCCAGGUGCACGGAAUCAGUGAGCAGUCUGCAGAGUCUCUGGUGUGUAUGGACAGUCAGUCUGCAGAGUCCCUGGUGUGUACAGACAGCCAUUCUGCAGAGUCUCUGGUGUGCACAAAUGGUCCAUCGGUACAGUCUCUGGUGUGCACAGAUGGCCAGUCUGCACAGUAUCAGGCAUGCACAGAUGACCAGUCUGCACUGGCACAUACAGAUAGUCAGCCUGUGCACUCUUCGGCGUGCACAGGGAGGCAGUGGCUGGCCAGGUCCUCGGCAGAGUUUGCACUGCAUGCAGACAAUGAGCGGUCUGCAGCGCAUCUGGUAAACGACGGCAAAUAUAGGCCUGUUAAUUGCCACCAGCUGGCCGUCUAUGGCGGAAGACGACUCUGCAAGGUUUCGCUCGACGAGAAAGGACGACUGCGGCGGGAGCGGCUGUCGGCUGACCUGGCUGGGUG